UAGAGUUGCAAUACAUUCCCGAUGGGGUUCGUUAGCGAUUAACGAACAUGCCUUGUAACCGAAAAUCAUGAGGGGGAAACAAACGAUG
rnacentral:sRNA from 20 species